CAAAAACAAAGAAUCAAAAUAGGAACCAAAUAACCGUUUGCAAGUGGUUGUGUUGUCCCUCAUCCUACAUGCAACGGAUAAACAGUGAGGAAAAGAGAGAAAAAAAAAACAGUCGUGCUUUGGUAAUUAGAAAUUGCAAGCCAAAAAAAAUCUUAACUGAGAAAAAUCAUGAAACUCGAAAUUUAAUAAAUCCAAAAGCUACUUGCCCAGAAAUCAUUAAAAAUGAGGGGGAAAAAUCAUAGUUUACAAAAAUCAAAAUAAUAAACCAAAAUAUCCAAGAAUCAAAAUACCAACAAGAUGGCUGGAAAUAAGAAAGUGAGAGUUGAAAAAUCUGAAAUGAAGCAAAAUCAACCGAGAUCGAUCUGGAUUCAUCAGAUUG
rnacentral:misc_RNA from 1 species